CCCCUAGAUGUUCUGGGCCGCACGCGCGCUACACUGAACAGUUCAACAAGUCUUAACCUUGGCCGAUAGGUCUGGGUAAUCUUUGAACGCUGUUCGUGAUUGGGAUAGACCUUUGCAAUUAUUAAUCUUCAACGAGGAAUGCCUAGUAAGCGCAAGUCAUCAGCUUGCGUUGAUUACGUCCCUGCCCUUUGUACACACCGCCCGUCGCUCCUACCGAUUGAAUGGUCCGGUGAAGCGCUCGGACCGCGGCCUCUUGACGGUUUUCCGUCGAUUGGCUGUGGGAAGUUCGUUAAACCUUAUCAUUUAGAGGAAGGAGAAGUCGUAACA
rnacentral:rRNA from 1 species